AGAGAGUUACAAUGCAACCCAAGGCUCAUAGUUCAACAAGAAUAGUUAUGCAACUUAUGUAUUUGACUUUGCUCUCACUUUUUGCUUUUUCCACCGAAGCAACAUCUUGUCAACCGUGUAAUGAAUUGGUGUGUCCCAAAGUGUAUUGCGGAGAAGAUGAAAAUUUGGUUUUAGAUGUUUGUGGGUGCUGUGAAAAAUGCCAGAAGAAAGUUUUAGGGGAAGGAGACGAAUGCCGCGGGAUAUGGAUAUCUCGAAUAGAUGAUUGCGAUAAGGGUCUUGUAUGUAAAGCAACAACAUAUUCUCAUAAUUGGAUUUGUGAAAAGGAGGAUAUGAAUAAAUAAUAGAAUACCUACUCACCUUAGAAAUUUUACAAAAAAUAAAAUAUUUGGCCUCCAGUUCCAUUUUUUAUGAAAAAAUUUUAUGAAUAAUGUUGAAGUUGAAUAAUUUCCUUCUACGUCAAUUCUCUAAUUUUAAUUCCAGUUGAUGAAGUGGAUUUUGGAAAAAAUUCUAAACUGUAUGUACUUAUUCUUGAUAAUUUCAUUCAAGAUUCCUGGUUUACCGAUAAAAAAGUAGAAUAAUUAUCCAACAUAUAAACUCACAAUGUAUUGAAAGAUUUUUGCUUCUUCAAACAGUUCGCAUGAAGUAGCUGUUGCAUGAACAUAUUGUUUUUGUAAUCUAUUUAAGAAAAAUUUCACAAUAAAGUUUCAAUCAAAUACGUUA